rnacentral:rRNA from 1 species
AUUGAACGCUGGCGGCAGGCCUAACACAUGCAAGUCGAGCGAGCGGAGGACGGGUGAGUAAUGUAUGGGGACUGACCGAAAGAGGGGGAGAAAUACUGGAAACGGUAGCUACAACCGCAUACUAUCGGAUAACCCAUAUGGGAUUAGCUAGUAGGUGGGGUAAUGGGUCACCUAGGCGACGAUCCCUAGCUGGUCUGAGAGGAUGAUCAGACAAACUGGGACUGAGACACGGGCCAGACGCCUACGGAGGCAGCAGUGGGGAAUAUUGCACAAUGGGCGAAAGCCGGAUGCAGCCAUGCCGAUUGUAUGAAGAAGGCCCUAGGGUUGUAAAGUACUUUCAGUCGGGAGGCGUUACCGACAGAAGAAGCACCGGCUAACUCCGUGCCAGCAGCCGCGGUAAUUC